rnacentral:rRNA from 1 species
AGACCUAUAAAUAUUGCCGGACAAUACAAUCUACAGAUUAAAAUCCAAAGAAUUUGGCGGUGUUUUAUACUAUCAGGGGAACCUGUCCCUUAAAUCGAUAUUCCACGAAACCUAAACCAAUCUUGAAUAUCAGCUUGUGUACUGCUGUCGUCAGUAAACCUCUAAAAGAUAGUUUACAGCAUUAAUAAUAAUUAAUUACGUCAAGUCAAAGUGCAGCUUAUAGACUGGUGAAGAUGGGUUACAAUCUAAAUAUUAAAGAUCACGAAUAUAGAAAAUAAAAAUCUAUUGAAGGUGGACUUGAUAGUCAUAACUAAAAUAUACUGUUAUUAACUUGUAACCUAAG